GGGAAACUGAUGCCUGAUACACAGUAAAUCAGGAGAUGUCUUUCUCCAGGACCAUGGACAGCACAAGGGUACAGCGAUCCUGGACCUACAAUAUGGAAACCUCUGCAUUUACGCAUGACUACCAAACCUUCCCACUCAUAACUGGGUAAAACAUGCUUGCCCCUAUCUCAAGGGUAGAUCCUUUUCAUGAGCUGCAGUGGUUUUCCACUCGUGUUCUCAAGUGAGAGUGUUUACUGGUGUUCUCUCUGCAAAUCAGCCACAAGUCACGGUAGCCCUAUCUGGAGUAUUUUCUAGUCCUUACCUGUUCACAGCCUGCUUUAAAUUAGUCAAAAGGCAGCACCUUAAGGUAGGUAGCCUCUGGGACCACAGGUCUUUCUUCAUUCGUUCUCCCUUCCCUCUUAAACCUUGUGGCCUAUUGUGUUACUUUGUCUAUUUCCCCUAGCUAGAGAUCUGCUGUGAUUAGCCAAAUCUCCUGAAAUCUGAAUAUCAUGAGCCUGCCUGAGUCUCACCAUUCUUCUCCUGAGCAAAAACACCCAUGCAUUUGGACGGCCCAUAUUCCCUGAAAAAGGAAGCUUCUAAAUUGUUUCAUCAGUUUCUGAUUUUGCCAGAUCUGGCAUCCUUCCUCUCCUAGAAAGUUAAUUUUGCUGAAACUCUUGCAAAUACUUCUUAUAAUUCCAAAUUUUGAAAAUAUGUAGUAACCCUUGUUGGCAUAGUGAUUGUCCAGUGCGAUUUGUUGCACCCUGAAUGUAAUUAUGGAUUUUAGGUUGAAAAACACAUUUUACUGGAUAAAACCCAUGAUCUCCAUAUUAAAUCUUACAAAUUAAAUCAGAAUGCAACACAACUUAUGGAUCUAAAUUUUAUUAUUAUCCCUUAAUACUCAUGCCUAGGCACUUGCAAUGUACUUUCCCCUUGUCAAGACCUUUCAGUUUAACCCUCUCAAAUCUACCUAUAUUUAGUUAUCACUACAUCUCCUCUAUACAAUACUAACUUGAAUCUUUUAAAAGAUAGUUCUUUUUUCUGUAGUGGUCUUUCCAAUCUCUCGACAUACCUCAAAGCAUCUUUCUAAAAAUAUUUUAGCCCAUAUUGUUUACUUCCUUUCCUGAUCUCCUCUGUUAAAUAAUAUUGACAUGAAAUGAUUUCACUCUUAAAAUUAUCUGACAGUGCUAUAGCACAGAGAUUGUCAUUAUUUGGUUUUUAUUUAACAGUUGAGGAAAAGUAGAAGUCAGGAAUAAUAAAUGCCA
rnacentral:lncRNA from 1 species